rnacentral:rRNA from 1 species
GACGAACCGUGCGAACGUUGUUCGGAAUCACUGGGCAUAAAGGGCGCGUAGGCGGCUUAUCAAGUCAGUGGUGAAAUCCGGCAGCUUAACUGUCGAAGUGCCUCUGAUACUGAUGAGCUCGAGGGAGGUAGGGGUGUGCGGAACUUCCGGUGGAGCGGUGAAAUGCGUUGAUAUCGGAAGGAACGCCGGUGGCGAAAGCGGCGCACUGGACCUCUUCUGGCGCUGAGGCGCGAAAGCUAGGGGAGCAAACGGG